rnacentral:rRNA from 1 species
AUACGGGGGAUCCGAGCGUUAUCCGGAUUUAUUGGGUUUAAAGGGAGCGUAGGUGGACAGUUAAGUCAGUUGUGAAAGUUUGCGGCUCGACCGUAAAAUUGCAGUUGAUACUGGCUGUCUUGAGUACAGUAGAGGUGGGCGGAAUUCGUGGUGUAGCGGUGAAAUGCUUAGAUAUCACGAAGAACUCCGAUUGCGAAGGCAGCUCACUGGACUGCAACUGACACUGAUGCUCGAAAGUGUGGGUAUCAAACAGGAUUAGAUACCCUGGUAGUCCACACAGUAAACGAUGAAUACUCGCUGUUUGCGAUAUACAGUAAGCGGCCAAGCGAAAGCAUUAAGUAUUCCACCUGGGGAGUACGCCGGCAACGGUGAAACUCAAAUGAAUUGACGGGG